UAAAUGUUGGACAACGUGUGA
ensembl:piRNA 21ur-492 ncRNA